GAUGGCGCGGUGGACACACCUGUUCCCAUCCCGAACACAGAAGUUAAGCACCGUAGUGGCGAAGGUAUCCAAUUCGUUGGGGAGAAUAGCGAGCUGCCGGGC
rnacentral:rRNA from 1 species